rnacentral:rRNA from 1 species
UACGUAGGGGGCAAGCGUUGUCCGGAUUUAUUGGGCGUAAAGAGCGUGUAGGCGGCCAGGUAGGUCUGCUGUGAAAACUCGAGGCUUAACCUCGAGAUGUCGGCGGAAACUAUCUGGCUAGAGUCCGGAAGAGGAGAAUGGAAUUCCCGGUGUAGCGGUGAAAUGCGCAGAUAUCGGGAAGAACACCCGUGGCGAAGGCGGUUCUCUGGGACGGUACUGACGCUGAGACGCGAAAGCGUGGGUAGCAAACAGG